rnacentral:ncRNA from 1 species
UGUCUCCUCCAAUUUCCUCCUAAAGAAUUGGAUUCGAACCCACAACCAAGGUUGUGGGUUUUUUUUU